CAGACCAUCCGCCAAAUCAAUGCA
rnacentral:siRNA from 1 species